UACAGAGGUGGCAAGCGUUGUUCGGAAUUACUGGGCGUAAAGGGCGCGUAGGUGGCCUUCUUAGUCAGACGUGAAAUCCCCGGGCUUAACUCGGGAACUGCGUCUGAUACUGGAAGGCUGGAGUUCGGGAGAGGAAUGUGGAAUUCCAGGUGUAGCGGUGGAAAUGACGUAGAUAUCUGGAGGAACACCGGUGGCGAAGGCGGCAUUCUGGACCGAAACUGACGCUGAGGCGCGAAAAGCCAGGGGAGCAAACGGGG
rnacentral:rRNA from 1 species